AACGAACGCUGGCGGCAGGCUUAACACAUGCAAGUCGAGCGCCCCGCAAGGGGAGCGGCAGACGGGUGAGUAACGCGUGGGAAUCUACCCAUCUCUACGGAAUAACGCAUGGAAACGUGUGCUAAUACCGUAUACGUCCUUCGGGAGAAAGAUUUAUCGGUGAUGGAUGAGCCCGCGUUGGAUUAGCUAGUUGGUGGGGUAAAGGCCUAUCAAGGCGACGAUCCAUAGCUGGUCUGAGAGGAUGAUCAGCCACACUGGGACUGAGAAACGGCCCAGACUCCUACGGGAGGCAGCAGGGGGGAAUAUUGGACAAUGGGCGCAAGCCUGAUCCAGCCAUGCCGCGUGAGUGAUGAAGGCCCUAGGGUUGUAAAGCUCUUUCACCGGUGAAGAUAAUGACGGUAACCGGAGAAGAAGCCCCGGCUAACUUCGUGCCAGCAGCCGCCGUAAUAC
rnacentral:rRNA from 1 species